rnacentral:rRNA from 1 species
UACAGAGGGUGCAAGCGUUGUUCGGAAUCAUUGGGCGUAAAGCGCGUGUAGGUGGCUUUCUAAGUCUGGUGUGAAAUCCCGGGGCUCAACCCCGGAAGUGCACUGGAUACUGGAGAGCUAGAGGGCGAGAGAGGAGAUUGGAAUUCAUGGUGUAGGGGUGAAAUCCGUAGAUAUCAUGAGGAACAUCUGUGGCGAAGGCGAAUCUCUGGCUCGUUUCUGACACUGAGACGCGAAAGCGUGGGGAGCAAACAGG